UAGGGCUGCUCAUGGGUUGUCCAACCCGUUCAAACCAACCCAACCCAACCUUGAACUAGGCCGACUAACCCGACCCAUUCCAAACCGUGGGUUAAUUGGGUUGAUUUUUGGUUGAGCCGUUUAUAAUGGGUUGGGUUGAAAUAUGAUUUUUAAAAACCCUAAACCAACCCAACCCGGUCAAAAUAUAUCUUUAACACUCUCAUACUCCCUCCGUUUCUUUAUUCUUUUCUCGUUUGAUAUGUCGGGACUGUUCAUAACAUGAGACUAAUUACUAAUUUACGUCUAAUCUAUAAGACUAAAUAUAGUCGUGAGUGAUCUUGUUGGAUUCGUAUUCACGAGUACUUUAAUACAAUGAAGUUUUUAUAUUUAAUACUAAUACAAAAUUAAUGAUAUUAAGGAUCAAAAGUGUGUAUUGGCAAACGUGCUAGAGAGAAACAGGAAAAGUAAUAAGAGACGGAGGGAGUAGAAUAUUUUUGGUUGCUUACGGAACUAUAUUUACUUAUUUGAUGAUAGAAUGUGCAGUGAGUGUAGUGCAGUGUGCAGAAACAAUUAGAAAUAAAGCUUUAUAGUUCAAAUCAAACGACUCACAUUGCUAGUUCUUAUGAUUAUAUAUCAUGGCGGAAACAUGAUUUUUAAUAGUUAUUAGUGUAUUAAGAUUCAGCUGUCCACCUUAGUAUGAAGAGAAUAUCUGCACUCUAAAAGCACCUGAUAUUUUGUAUCGGUGCAGUGUCCUAUGUUAUUGCUAAUUGUAUACAACAAAAUGGUGCAAAACAUAUUUUGGAUUAUGCUUAUCUUGCAAAUUUUUCAACCCGAUCAACCCUACCCUAACCAACCCAACCCGUCAUACAAUUAGUAGGGUUGGGUUUCUAAUUCUUUUUAUGAUUAAUGGGUUAAAUUUUUCUAACCCGUACUAAAUGGGUUGGGUCGCUUGAAUGGCCGAAACCGGCCCAACCCAGCCCAUGUGCAGCCCUA
rnacentral:lncRNA from 1 species